UCUCCUGUAGCUCAGUGGUAGAGUGCCUACCACCGAUGCGCGGAAGGUCAUAGGUUUGACUCCUGUUGGGGAGAA